GUGCUCACCUUGGCAGCAUAUAUACUAAAAAUGGAAUGAUACAGAGAAGAUUAGCAUGGCCCCUAUGCAAGUAUGACACACAAAUUCAUGAAGCAUUCCAUAAUUUU